rnacentral:rRNA from 1 species
AUUGAACGCUGGCGGCAGGCCUAAAACAUGCAAGUCGAACGGUAACAGGAAGCAGCUUGCUGCUUUGCUGACGAGUGGCGGACGGGUGAGUAAUGUCUGGGAAACUUCCCGAUGGAGGGGGAUAACUACUGGAAACGGUAGCUAAUACCGCAUAACGUCGCAAGACCAAAGAGGGGGACCUUAGGGCCUCUUGCCAUCGGAUGUGCCCGGAUGGGAUUAGCUAGUAGGUGGGGUAACGGCUCACCUAGGCGACGAUCCCUAGCUGGUCUGAGAGGAUGACCAGCCACACGGGAACUGAGACACGGCCCAGACCCCUACGGGAGGCAGCAUUGGGAAAUAUUGCAAAAGGGGCGCAAGCCUGAGGCAGCCAGGCCGCGGUUAUGAAGAAGGCCUGCGGUUUUUAAAGUACUUUAAGCGGGGAGAAAGGGAUUAAAUUUAAAACCUGUCCUCAUGAACGUAACCCGAAGAAGAAGCACCGGCAAACUCCUG